CGUGUAGGCGGACCUUCAAGUCGGGUGUGAAAACUGGCGGCUCAACUGCCAGCCUGCACUCGAUACUGUUGGUCUUGAGUACAGGAGAGGAAAGCGGAAUUCCAGGUGUAGCGGUGAAAUGCGUAGAUAUCUGGAAGAACACCAGUAGCGAAGGCGGCUUUCUGGACUGAUACUGACGCUAAGGCGCGAAGGCUUGGGUAGCAAACA
rnacentral:rRNA from 1 species